GCCUCGGUGGUGUAGUGGUAGAGCACGCGUCCCGCAUAGAAUGUAACGCGGGUCCGAUAUCCGCCUGAGGCC